GUUUAUUUAUUUUCUGGCUUUUGUUCUAGUGGAAUAUUAGUUUAACUUAGAAUAAAUAAACAUAUGAAGUACAGUAUAUACUGUGCAUUAUUGUCUCGCUUGUUAUAUUUUUAUUUUUCUGUAUCCUUGUGUCCUUGUAUUUGGUAGUUAAUCGAAACUCUUUGUUAUAAAAUUUUGCAUUAACUCAUAGUACUGUAUAAAGUUUCCUGUUGUUCUUAGACAUUUUGUGUCCAGGAUUACGUAUACGACCUUGAAAAUACACGUGGUCAAUGGGAUGGCGUAAGACACACCUUCCAUGGACAGUGACUGUGUUGUCCUUGAAAUAAACGGUCCACUGUACAUCUAAAACGUCGUUAAUAAUCUCCGUGUGGUCUUGAAUAUUGGUAUAUACGCCUAUAAUAAAAUAUAACUUUUUUCCAUUCACGAUUUGAAUUUCUGAUUAAUAUCCCGCAGAAUUAUCUCUAUGGUUAAAUAGCGAUGCAUUUCGUGUUGUGUUCACUGACAUUUGCUUAAAAUAUUUUUUGAGUGGGUGGAUACAUAUCAGAUGCCUCGUCAGAAUUGCAAUAAAUAUUAAAUUAAUUUCCAUUUAAACUUUUGCAUGUAUUAUAGAGUUUAUCGUGAUUAUUCGUAUUUAUAAAGGUUUAUGAGGCCUCAGUUUAACUGCGCAUCCCACCUGUUUUAGGUGUUCCAUGGUUAAAUUAUUUCAUAAAACACGAUUCGUUGGCCAUCUGUUAGUAAUGAUUCAUUGUCUCUAUUUGUUAUAAAUGUUAUCCCGUUUGUAAACUUUCAAGUUAAAUCAUUGAUCUCCUGUAAACAAAAUCGCGUAUCUACCAAUAAACCAAAGUUGUCCCAAAUUUUUGUCCCUCGAUAUUUAUUCUUAACCUAUUUAGAGUAAAAUUGACUGUGUUUCCAAGAAUUUAUAUUAUUUCCCAAAUUAGAUGUAUAAUGGGAAGGAUGCAAUAAAAAUAAUAAUAGGCCUAUGCUUUCAUGCGGAGAAGUAUUUGUGAAAUUGUAGGCGAAGCGAUAUUGUUUAAUAAGAUUAAAGUGCAUUCGAAAGAUUGGCCAACUUCCUAUGUUUAUAUGACCUUGAAAAAGUGCAUAGAAAGCUGGCAUCUAUAUGAAUUCAUUUCAAAUACUCGUAUAAAUUCAUUGCUUAUAUUCUCAAGCCAUAAUAUUAUAUAUACAGUAUACUGUAUUAUUGUAUUACUGUAUUUAUAAUAGGAAAAGCUUCGGUUCAUGUUGAAAAAUAACACAGUAUUUGAAAUAAUGCGUAACAAAUUUUUGCAUAUAUUAAAUGUUGAAUAUUAGAAACGAAUCAAUAUGUAAAAGUUGUCUGUGC
rnacentral:lncRNA from 1 species